UACGGAGGAUGCAAGCGUUAUCCGGAAUCAUUGGGCGUAAAGAGUCUGUAGGUGGCAUUUAAAGUCUGCUGUCAAAGACCGAAGCUCAACUUCGGGCAGGCGGUGGAAACUGAAAAGCUAGAGUAUAGUAGGGGUAGAGGGAAUUCCUAGUGUAGCGGUGAAAUGCGUAGAGAUUAGGAAGAACACCAGUGGCGAAGGCGCUCUACUGGGCAUAUACUGACACUGAGAGACGAAAGCUAGGGUAGCGAAAGGG
rnacentral:rRNA from 1 species